UAGGGAAUCUUCCGCAAUGGACGCAAGUCUGACGGAGCAACGCCGCGUGAGUGAUGAAGGUCCUCGGAUCGUAAAACUCUGUUACUAGGGAAGAACAAAUGUGUAAGUAACUAUGCACGUCUUGACGGUACCUAAUCAGAAAGCCACGGCUAACUACGUGCCAGCAGCCGCGGUAAUACGUAGGUGGCAAGCGUUAUCCGGAAUUAUUGGGCGUAAAGCGCGCGUAGGCGGUUUUUUAAGUCUGAUGUGAAAGCCCACGGCUCAACCGUGGAGGGUCAUUGGAAACUGGAAAACUUGGGUGCAGAAGAGGAAAGUGGAAUUCCAUGUGUAGCGGUGAAAUGCGCAGAGAUAUGGAGGAACACCAGUGGCGAAGGCGACUUUCUGGUCUGUAACUGACGCUGAUGUGCGAAAGCGUGGGGAUCAAACAGG
rnacentral:rRNA from 1 species